AGUCAACAUAACCAGAGGACGUGGAUAAACUCGGGAAACUGAGGCUAAACCGCGAUAGACCAAGAUACCUGGAAUGGUUUUUGAUCAAAAUCUAUAUGGCCUUUGGAUUGGACUGCGACCGAUCAGGCUAUUGGUGAGGUAAUGGCCCACCAAACCAGUAACCGGUACGGGCUCUGAGAGGAGGAGCCCGGAGAUGGGUACUGAGAAAAGGACCCAGGCCCUAUGGGGCGCAGCAGGCGCGAAACCUCUGCAAUAGGCGAAAGCCUGACAGGGUUAUUCUGAGUGACUUUCGCUAAGAAAGUCUUUUGACAUCUCUAAAAAUGGUGUAGAAUAAGGGGUGGGCAAGUCUGGUGUCAGCCGCCGCGGUAAUACCAGCACCCCGAGUGGUCGGGACGAUUAUUGGGCCUAAAGCAUCCGUAGCCGGUUUUACAAGUCCUCCGUUAAAUCCAACUGCUUAACAGAUGGGCCGCGGAGGAUACUAUAAGACUAGGAGGCAGGAGAGGCAAGCGGUACUCAGUGGGUAGGGGUAAAAUCCGUUGAUCCAUUGAAGACCACCAGUGGCGAAGGCGGCUUGCCAGAAUGCGCUCGACGGUGAGGGAUGAAAGCUGGGGGAGCAAACCGGAUUAGAUACCCGGGUAGUCCCAGCUGUAAACGAUGCAGACUCGGUGAUGGACUAGCUUAAUGCUAGUCCAGUGCCGCAGGGAAGCCGUUAAGUCUGCCGCCUGGGUAGUACGGUCGCAAGACUGAAACUUAA
rnacentral:rRNA from 2 species